GGGUCGCUGCGGCAGCCCGGGUCACUGCGGAGCCCGGCGCACGGAGUAGGGCUGCGGCGGGCGCAGCCAAGCGGCUCCGCUGCGCCGGUUAAAACAUUCUCCCAGGGGGCAUCUCUCUGUCCUUGGCCAGAUGGUCUCGACACGUGCGGGCACCUCUAACCCAGUGCUACGCCAUACCUUUCUCUUGUGUACAUUCGGAAACAGAAGCCAUCUCUGACCCGCCCAGCUCUUCCCUGGCGCUGCAAAGCACUGGCUUUACUGACAAAUGUCUCCACCAAAGAACUCAUCUGACUGCUUUCAUGGAUUCCCUCUGCUUAAUCCUAAGAAGAUGAAGGCUGGCCAAGUGCGGUGGCUCAGGCCUGUAAUCCCAGCACUUUGGGAGGCUGAGAUGGGCAGAUCAUCUAAGGUCAGGAGUUUUGAGACCGGCCUGGUCAACAUGUUUUCAGUGCAGUAAGAAGAUACUGUAUAGGAUGGUUUGAAAUUAUAUUUGAAGCAUAGCUAAUCCAGAUGGUCAAGAAGGCUACUAAGACAAAUGCCACUGAUGCUGAGGACUGAGGAAUGAGUAUGAAAAGAAAAAGAGGAGGAAGAAACGGGAUGAAAAAAGGAGAAAAAAGCCGUCAUGUCAAGGCUCUCGCUCUGUUGACCAGGCUGGAGCGCAGUGGCGCUACCACAGCUCACUGCAGCCUUGACCUCCCAGGCUCAAGCAAUCCUCCACCUCAGCCUUGCAAGCAGAUGGGACUAUAGGACAGUGGCAUACUAUCACAUCUAUCAAAGAAAAUGUGAAAAGUGCCUGAAAUGUGCUACUGAUCAACCAAUAGCAGUGAAAACUCACAUACGGUACACAUUCCAUUUGGAUCACAAAAGCAAAGCCAAACAUCUCGGUAAGUGGGAGGAAGUAACUGAUGAACUGACUAAAGGAAAAACAGAGACUCUGGGCUUGGUCAUGUGACUUACUUCAGUCAAUGGGACAUUAGCAAGAAUAAUAAAGCAGGAGUUUGAUAAGAGUUUGUACAUUUUGGCUUAUCAUCUUAAAAUAUUCUUGGAAGCCAGAUGCAAUAAGAAGUCCAGCCACCCUAAGACCACUAUAUGUGAGGAAACCCAAGCUAGUCAUGUGGAAAAAACAUGUAGACAGAGGGAUGCCUGGCUAGUCUCCAGCUUAGUCAUGGGAGUGAAGAAGCCACUUUGGAUGUUCCAGCCUUGGAAGAUACUUCCUGGAACCAAAGAAACACCUUGCUGAGCCCAGCACAGACUGCAGAAUCAUGAGAAAUAAUAGUUGGUUUAAGCCACUACAUUUUGGGGUGGUUUGUUAUAUAACUAAAACAAACAAUGAUAGAAAAGUCUAGCAAACCAAUUAGUUAUUUGUAAGAAGUAAAAAUGUUAUAGAAACCUAA